UACGUAGGGGGCAAGCGUUGUCCGGAUUUAUUGGGCGUAAAGAGCGUGUAGGCGGCUUUACAGGUCCGUUGUGAAAACUCGAGGCUCAACCUCGAGACGCCGGUGGAAACCGUAAAGCUAGAGUCCGGAAGAGGAGAGUGGAAUUCCUGGUGUAGCGGUGAAAUGCGCAGAUAUCAGGAGGAACACCCGUGGCGAAGGCGGGUCUCUGGGCAACAACUGACGCUGAGGAGCGAAAGCGUGGGGAGCGAACAGG
rnacentral:rRNA from 1 species